UACCAGCACCCCGAGUGGUCGGGACGAUUAUUGGGCCUAAAGCAUCCGUAGCCGGUCCUACAAGUCUUCCGUUAAAUCCACCUGCUUAACAGAUGGGCUGCGGAAGAUACUAUAGGGCUAGGAGGCGGGAGAGGCAAGCGGUACUCAGUGGGUAGGGGUAAAAUCCUCUGAUCCAUUGAAGACCACCAGUGGCGAAGGCGGCUUGCCAGAACGCGCUCGACGGUGAGGGAUGAAAGCUGGGGGAGCAAACGGG
rnacentral:rRNA from 1 species